GCCGGUGUAGCUUAGUUGGUAGAGCACGUCAUUCGUAACGAUGGGGUCGUAGGUUCAAGUCCUAUCACCGGCACCA
rnacentral:tRNA from 1 species